CUUCGAUUGCGUAGCACAAAGCCCCAUCCCCGCCGAAGCCGUUGCUCCGCGGUGGCCCCACGUCAUCGACGAGAAAUCACCGGCCUUCACGGUCUCCUGAGCUCUGCGAUGUAGUUCCCCAUGUUCACCACCCCCUGGCGCACCUCCCAGAUCGCACACAAUUCACCAGUCUACGCUGUGCUCGACUAGCGACGAUGGUGGCGGUCGGGACCCUCUCUGUUGUUUCUCCGCGUGAGCCCAGGGUUCAUGGUGCUCACCCGUGAGGAAGACAGCUAUAGGGGUGCGGUGCUCUGGAUUAUAUAGUCCCAUGGAUGGGUGAGUCCUGAAGGCUUGAAUC
rnacentral:lncRNA from 7 species